rnacentral:lncRNA from 1 species
UAGCAUGAUCGUAUUAUGUCCCGAAUUUGGGGUGUGACAAUAUCAAAAUCUAAAAAUAAAGAAAAGAUAAUAAGCUUGAUAGCACAAUAAGUAAUGAAUAUCUCAACUAGAUAUUUCAGAUAUUAUCAUAAGAUUUAAUAUUCAAAAAUAAUUAUCAUGAAUAAAUAUAAAAAUAUAUUCUAUACUAAAUUAUGUAAUC